ensembl:lncRNA
GACAAAAGAUGCACAGAGGUAGCCAUUCCAGGACAGCCUUUGGGCCUAAGGACUCUCUCAUCUUCCCACAUCUCCAGCUGUGGAUUCAUGCUGGGGGCUGGAGGGACAGCUGGUGGAGGAGGAGUCCCUGUGCAGAGAGUGGGGAAGAACAGGAAGGCUGAGUGGUUCCAUAAUCAGAAAUGGCUCAUCUCACCCUCAAUGAAUUGUUGAUGCACCAGAGCACUGCUUUCUUUUCCGAAACUAGGUCUUCAGGAGUGACUCGGAAACCCAUCUCAGAGGGUGAUGGAAGACCUAGGACCUUCUCACUUGUGUGGCAGCAAAGAGAUCCUGCAUUUUACGGACUCAUUGCGUGUGGUCAAUGACCCAUACCUCUAAAAGGUUACAAAGAAG